rnacentral:rRNA from 1 species
UGAACGCUAGCUACAGGCUUAACACAAGCAAGUCGAGGGGCAGCAUGGUCUUAGCUUGCUAAGGCCGAUGGCGACCGGCGCACGGGUGAGUAACACGUAUCCAACCUGCCGUCUACUCUUGGACAGCCUUCUGAAAGGAAGAUUAAUACAAGAUGGCAUCAUGAGUCCACAUGUUCACAUGAUUAAAGGUAUUCCGGUAGACGAUGGGGAUGCGUUCCAUUAGAUAGUAGGCGGGGUAACGGCCCACCUAGUCUUCGAUGGAUAGGGGUUCUGAGAGGAAGGUCCCCCACAUUGGAACUGAGACACGGUCCAAACUCCUAUGGGAGGCAGCAGUGAGGAAUAUUGGUCAAUGGGCGAGAGCCUGAACCAGCCAAGUAGCGUGAAGGAUGACUGCCCUAUGGGUUGUAAACUUCUUUUAUAAAGGAAUAAAGUCGGGUAUGCAUACCCGUUUGCAUGUACUUUAUGAAUAAGGAUCGGCUAACUCCGUGCCAGCAGCCGCGGUAAUACGGAGGAUCCGAGCGUUAUCCGGAUUUAUUGGGUUUAAAGGGAGCGUAGAUGGAUGUUUAAGUCAGUUGUGAAAGUUUGCGGCUCAACCGUAAAAUUGCAGUUGAUACUGGAUAUCUUGAGUGCAGUUGAGGCAGGCGGAAUUCGUGGUGUAGCGGUGAAAUGCUUAGAUAUCACGAAGAACUCCGAUUGCGAAGGCAGCCUGCUAAGCUGCAACUGACAUUGAGGCUCGAAAGUGUGGGUAUCAAACAGGAUUAGAUACCCUGGUAGUCCACACGGUAAACGAUGAAUACUCGCUGUUUGCGAUAUACUGCAAGCGGCCAAGCGAAAGCGUUAAGUAUUCCACCUGGGGAGUACGCCGGCAACGGUGAAACUCAAAGGAAUUGACGGGGGCCCGCACAAGCGGAGGAACAUGUGGUUUAAUUCGAUGAUACGCGAGGAACCUUACCCGGGCUUAAAUUGCAGAUGAAUUACGGUGAAAGCCGUAAGCCGCAAGGCAUCUGUGAAGGUGCUGCAUGGUUGUCGUCAGCUCGUGCCGUGAGGUGUCGGCUUAAGUGCCAUAACGAGCGCAACCCUUGUUGUCAGUUACUAACAGGUUCCGCUGAGGACUCUGACAAGACUGCCAUCGUAAGAUGUGAGGAAGGUGGGGAUGACGUCAAAUCAGCACGGCCCUUACGUCCGGGGCUACACACGUGUUACAAUGGGGGGUACAGAGGGCCGCUACCACGCGAGUGGAUGCCAAUCCCAAAAACCUCUCUCAGUUCGGACUGGAGUCUGCAACCCGACUCCACGAAGCUGGAUUCGCUAGUAAUCGCGCAUCAGCCACGGCGCGGUGAAUACGUUCCCGGGCCUUGUACACACCGCCCGUCAAGCCAUGGGAGCCGGGGGUACCUGAAGUGCGUAACCGCGAGGAGCGCCCUAGGGCAAAACUGGUGACUGGGGCUAAGU